rnacentral:sRNA from 1 species
UUUACACUGGCGAAGAAACGUCGGUGACAUACAAUUAAAGCAUCAACACCAACCGGAACCUCCACCACGUGCUCGAAUGAGGUGUGUUGACGUCGGGGGAAACCCUCCUGUGUACCAGCGGGAUAGAGAGAAAGACAAAG